GACGAACGCUGGCGGCGUGCCUAAUACAUGCAAGUUGAGCGCUGAAGGUUGGUACUUGUACCAACUGGAUGAGCAGCGAACGGGUGAGUAACGCGUGGGGAAUCUGCCUUUGAGCGGGGGACAACAUUUGGAAACGAAUGCUAAUACCGCAUAAAAACUUUAAACACAAGUUUUAAGUUUGAAAGAUGCAAUUGCAUCACUCAAAGAUGAUCCCGCGUUGUAUUAGCUAGUUGGUGAGGUAAAGGCUCACCAAGGCGAUGAUACAUAGCCGACCUGAGAGGGUGAUCGACCAAAUUGGGACUGGGACACGGCCCAAACUCCUACGGGAGGCAGCAGUAGGGAAUCUUCGGCAAUGGACGAAAGUCUGACCGAGCAACGCCGCGUGAGUGAAGAAGGUUUUCGGAUCGUAAAACUCUGUUGGUAGGGAAGAACGUUGGUGAGAGUGGAAAGCUCAUCAAGUGACGGUAACUACCCAGAAAGGGACGGCUAACUACGUG
rnacentral:rRNA from 1 species